rnacentral:misc_RNA from 1 species
UUUUAAUGAAAUUAACUACUUGAUUCAUGUAUUUUGAAAAAUACACUUUUUAGUCCAUGUAUUUUACUUCUGUUAAACUAUUUAGUCCCUUUGUUAAAUUUUCCUUUAUUCAUGCUAUUCAAACUACUAUUUAGUCCCCUUUAUCUUAAUGAAACUAAUUAGUUGACCCUAUAUUUUGAAAAACACUACUAUGUAGUCCCUCUAUUUUAG